rnacentral:lncRNA from 10 species
AGCUGAAACAUUCAGUGUUCUCAGCUUUGGUUGAGAACUUGCAGCAUUUUAUAUAUAUGUAAAUAUAUAUGUACAUUAAUUCAAAAGGAUCAAGGACAGCAUGAACAAAAAUGCACUAGGUGCCAUGGAAGCUGGGCACCCAUCUGUUGCCCCAAACCUGUAGCAGUGGUGGCUAACCCCCCAAUUCCAUACUGGUAGGAUUAGGGGGCCCAAUUCACCACAGCAGCACUAUCAGUUGGGUGCUCAUCUGACAUCUGGGGCAAUGGCAGGCCCAAUCCAUUGCAGUGGUAGUGACCAUAGGCCAACUUUUCCUGAAUUUCCCACCCAAUGGCACUGGGGAUUGAGGUGGCACCGGCAGGGGCUAAAUGGGAGACCCAGUGGAGCCAGAAGAAUGAAGCUAAGCAGUAUGGCACUGUAAGAGCUCUGAAAAGUAAACUGUCAUUGAAACUGCAGCUUAAAAGAAGAGGCCAGGAUCUACACACUAAACCUAAACAGGGGAACUUCCUGCUGAAAGGGAGUCCUAUGCUUAGUGUUUUCAAAGAGCCCUCCCUGUGACUGGAUACUGAGACAUUUGAUCCUUCCAAGGCACUAGCAAAAGGGUGUCCAGCCAAAAUCUUGACUUUCUCUCCGGGGCAUACUCUUCUGAUAGUGAGCCUCUUAGAGUCUUCUGCAAUCUGGUCAGGCUGAGAAUUGCCUAAAUCAUUAAGUCCUGGUUCCUUUCUGCUAAACAGUUUGUUUCUUCUUCAAUUUUUCUCUUUUUUUUUCUCACAUUGUGAAAAGAAGCAAGAGGAAAUCAGGCCAAACCUUCAACACUUUGCUUAGAAACCUCAUACACCCCGGUAAUCCCAGCUACUCAGGAGGCUAAGGCACGAGAAUUGAUUGAACCCAGGAGGCGGAUGUUGCAGUGAGCCGAGAUUGUGUCACUGCACUCCAGCCUGGGCAACAGAGCCAGACUUUGACUCCAAAAAAUAAAAAAAGAAAUAAA